AUGGGCCAUCAGAGGCAAUUCUCAGUAGGUUCUCGUGUCUUGAUUUCAUAUAAAUAUCAACCACAUGCCUUCAUCCCGCCUCAACCCCUUAUUGUUCCUACCCCAUUUGACCUUUAAAGGGGUCUUUCUCCGUCCGGCAUGUGGGAGCUUUGCAGUGCAGCAAUUGAUAUGAAUUGGAUGUGGUGAAUUAGAUCUUUUUGAUUUGCAGUCAUUUUGAACAGAAACUGAAAUUCCUCUUUCAGAAGCAAAGAUUUAUUUAACUUGAACAACAGAAACCGUUCUGUUCUUUAAGAAGAGUGGUCUGUUGUGACAUGCAUGGAGGGAGGUGGCAGUCGUAGGGCUCAAACAAAGCAAUGGGUCCUAUUUUAGAGCUCACCAGAAGUCACCCUCAGAGUAGGGGUCCGUGUCCUGCUCAUCAAACACCUGGACAGUCUGCUCUUCUUAAGAGCAAUAUAUGUGAAGAGCUUGGACUUUAUUUUACCUUCAUAUACCCUGCCUAUUGUAUCUCAGUUAUAAUUAGCCUUGAUACUUUUUGUUGAUGUAUAACUUCACUUCUCAGAGGCAUCUGCUCCGUUUCAGAAGUCAAGCACAUUACCUCUGAAUGAAAGGGUGACUAUUUGUGACAAGCAUUGUGAUACACACAGAAGGCAGUUUCAUUUUGGAUGUCUGUGGAAAGAGCGAAACAGAUGAAAUACACAUUAAAAACAGCUGAAUAAGUAUAUUGAUCUUCUAUGAAAAAUUUCCUCCUUGGAAAUAAGAUUGGACUGCGAAGAAAAUAAUCGAAAUGUCAGGCAACUUUUAAGUACAUGUCCUACUGCAGAUGUCUACACUGUUUAAAACACCUUUCUGCCACUCAGAAUGUGUGAUUUCCAAAUUUAGUUUCAUGUUUUAUUUUUUUUUUAAUCGAGGGUGGAAUUUAAUGAAUCAAAAUUAAAUCUGAUAUACUUGGUGUUUUCUUUGAGAACAACCCAAGUAUAAGCUUCCAGGGAGAAGAAUGAAUCAGAGCAAUUAAAUGAGUUCAGUUUGAAUCCUAUUAGCAAGUAAGCUCUCUAUUUUUUGUGUGUGCCUCACCUGUCAGUUCAACAGGUGGGUGGCAAAGCCUUGUGGAAAGUAGCUUUUGCUCGGACUUAGCGGAUAGUGACCAAAUUAAGGAACUUGAGGUGGACGGGCAAAAGGGAUGAACAGAAAAGUAAACUGAUCAGCAGGUUUUGUGCAAAUGGUUCCCAACUUCCUAUUAAGUUCCAAUUAGCCACUGUCAUAGAGUGCUAGGAUGGUAAUAAAAUGAACCGCUGCACAGUAUUUUUGUUUAUUUUUCUUUUACUGAGACUGGCCGCAUCACUUUGUCUUGUCGCUUUUUAUCCAGAGUCUUACCCUCUGUGCCACCAUAGGUGGACAGACCACAAAGGGUCACAUAUGCUGUAAUAUGUCAGGUGACCAGUUUGGUUAAACAUAAAUUUGACCACUGACUCUGCCAAAACCAGCAGACCUGACUGUAGGUCAAAAACUGACUAUAGGUCAGGCUCAAAGAGUAAAUACCGUGUUUCUGUAUUAGUGAGUGGAAUGAGCUUCGUGAAAGGCAAACGUGUGUGCCAAAGCCGAGAAUGAAAGUUGGAACAAUUUGAGUGCAGAAGAGUAAAUCUGAAUUAUUAUUACAUGUUGUUAAUUUCUUACAGUUGUCCUUUAUGUAUGGUGGCAGAAUGAGAAAUCACAGUGUGUUGCUCUUGGAAGGAUUUUUACUCAUGGAAAAAUUCUCACAACUUUUUGGUGACCCUUUCAUCAAGAUGUCAGUCCCUUUUGGCACAAGCCCAUUGCCUGAAAUGAAACCACCGACAGUUAUUGUCUGUGGGUGAUUCCAAGUAACUUUCUAACAAUUUGCUUAUUCUGGGUAGCCUGAGCCCUUCAAAGUCUCUGCACCUAUUAAUGUUAAAAAAAAAAAGUUUCAUUAUUUUCUUUUAGAGGCAUCUUGUACCUCCUUUUAUCCUUUUUGGCAAAAUGGAGUUAUUUUCUUUCCUUGAUUAGAACUGGAAUUACUUUGCUGAUCUCUGUAACUAGCUUACAUGAAGACUUAGCCUAUGUACAAUGGAAACUUCUUCUAGGGAAGCAGCAGAUUUAAUACCUGGCCACCUCUGCAAAAUAUAUGAACAUGCCUUUUCUGUUAAACAUGUAUUUCCAUUUACAUAAUUUAAAACAUUAAAGAGGAUCUAAUUUCAGUGUAUUUAUCUGGUUUAGUUAAGGGCUUAUGCCAAAUACAAAUUUAUAAUCAGCUCAUUCCAGGGUACAAAAUUACAGGUAGACUUCAGAAUUCAAAACAGAACGAUUCAGUAUCUGGACAUUUUACAUAUACCCUAAAAUGAUGAUGUUUCACAACAAUAAUUUCAAGACACUCAAGACUCCUAGAGUGUCUUUGCAUUACCAGAAAAAUACAACCACUUUGUUAACUCUCCUAGGCACUGAUCACAGUGUAUUCUGUGUAGGGGACUCUCUGAGGGCAAUUCUGGGGGCACCAUUUACAUAGUUAAAAUAUAUUGUUAUACAACUCAGGAGUACUGUCAAAGGUGCAAUUUUGAGUUUACUUUGCUGUGUCUUAGUUGACCAGAGUGUUCUUUUCAAUAACUCCUUCCCAAACUUUUUAGGUUAUCUGGUUCAUGUGCAUUUUUUUCCAGUUGCCUGUUUUGUUUUAUUUUAUUUAUUUAUUUAUUUAUUUAUUUAUUUAUUUAUUUUUGCAAUUAACAAGAUAUUGCAAGUCUGCAGAGAUUUUCGGUAAUUUAUAUUUGGCUUUUUGCUAAAUUUGAAUAUCAAAGUAUAUUUUGUAUGGGUUUUUGGUAUUUAGGUGUUUUAUUUUAAAGGUACUUGCUUCAGAUACAUCAAUGAGAAGAAAAUACUUCAGAAUGAGCAGAUGAUCUUGAAUAGCUUGAAAAAAUAAUGUAAUCCAAUGUCAAGGUUAAGUCCCAAUUUACAAUAUGACUACCCUCUGUGCAGUAAACUUGCCUUUGCGUAUGUGUGUGCAUGGACUCACAGUGGCAUAAGCAUGGACUCAUUAUGUUUUAAUAGAGAUCUAGGAAUUGGAACUAUUUAAGUUCUCUGUGAGGCUGAUGCUGAGCUUUUCACAAAGAUGAGUUGACUUUAUUGUACUGUUCAUAGAGCUCUGCUUUUUGUACAGUCUGUGAAGUGGCAUUCAUGGCUUACAAGGAGACUCUUUCAAUAAUCUCCCCAUUAACAUAAGGUUUUCUUAUUUAAAGGAGAAAGACAAAGAUUGAGGAGGAAUGAGGUACUAUUGGUCGCUGUGCCAUUGGGCUUUGGAAUGUAAAUUUAUAGGUUGCUCAGUUGAUUGUGGAGUUGCUGAAGAGUACCUAGGAGGGUAAUUUUAUCUGGUGCUAUUUUACACAAGGCCUUCCAGCGCACUGUAAGGGGGAGAUUGGGGAUUGUUUGGGGAAUUAGGACAGUAGGGAUGAUCUAUCCGGCUUUAACCCCAGCCCAGCUUCAUCUUGAGUUAUAUAGAUAAUUCAGGUAGAAGGCAUUUGAGCAGAAAUCUUUGAAUAAACAGUUAUUUAGAGUCUCACUCUAUUUUAACCUGAUGGAAUUCUUAAAAACUUGUAUGUAAAGCAGAUCAUCAUCAAAUACUAAAGACAUUCAUUUUAUUUGAAAUCCUGAAAUGAGUACUUCUGAAGUAGAAAAAUAAACUUCUAAAAUGUGAAUACUUCACUAAAUUAGAUGAGGAACCUCUAGAUUACAAGCGUUGUACGUUAAGUAUUCAUCCACACUGGGGAUGGGGAGCCCUGGGGUGAAAUACCGGCUCCCUUGGUCUUCCACAUGUUUUUCCUUAGUGCUGUUCCUGGCUGAAAAGUCUCCUAAGGUCUUAUCCUCACAGUCAAAGUGAAAUGGAGCACUGACAUAGUUAUCAGAAUAAUUACGCUUAAAACAAAACAAAAAGCUUGAUUUCAUCUGAUUCAUCUUGGUUAUUCAGAAUGUUCCUGGAGUGAUGUAGGAGUGGGAAGGAUUUGCCUGAAUUAUCUGUGUAAUUCCUUUGUUCUACGGGAAAAGACUAGGGAUAAGGAAAUCAUAUCCACAAAUCCAAUUUGAAUAUACCAGAGGAAAAUGUAUUGAAUGUACUUGGACUAUGUCAUCUUGGUUGAUCACGAUACAUUAAAAGAUUCCAAUUUUAAACUGCUCCUUUGCUUUGAACUGGAAAACAGAUUAACCAUAAAUCUCAGCCCACAUCUGUAGAAAUCAUGGUUGCUAAAAAUACCACUUAUUGGGUCUAAAUUUAUCUGAAAUGGGUAUUUCUAGACAUAUUUUGCAGGUAGGGACAGCUUCAAAGAUUUCUAUCUUACUGGUUUAAAAAAUAGCAGUGACCCUGAAAUUGAACUGUGAGGGCAUGAUUAGCAGCAGCUAAUGGUUUAGCAGCUCUAAUGGUUUGGGAUUUAAGCAUUAACAUGGCUCUCAACUAAAUUCUAAAUAUCAAUUCAGUUAUUAGUAGCCAUGACAUGGUGUUAACCUGGGUGUAACACUAGAUUAUACUCUCCUGCAUUAUUGGUUGGUUGGAUCAUACUCAUUUCUUUCAUUGACCAAAUAAAUUACAGGCUCCCAGAGGGUUUAUAAAUUUCACAUAGAGCGCUUAAUAAAGUUUUAAAUAUAUGUUAGAAGUUCAAUAAAUAUUGGGUUGGACUUUUAAAAAUUCAUCCUUAAGACUUAAUCAUGUUUAGUUUUGGUGAUCUGGAAGUAACUUGUACCCUUACCUUCUUCUUAAGAGGUAGGAAGUUGAAGUGAAUAUAAUUUUAGUUUUCACAGUCAGUCAUUUUCUAUUAUUUACUAACAAGAGAAAAAAAUUGUGGUUAGUCCAGAAAGCCACUUGCCAAAAGAGAGUGGCUUGCAAUUGCUCACAUUUACCAGCUUUGGAGCCACACUCUGAUCAACCUGGUGAUAUGCUAGGUUUGAUCCAGCUGUGGUAACUUAGAGCUAACAGUAACUUUUCCUGUAGCCAUAAAAAUCCCCUCCAGGAUCCAGGAGGAGCUUUGAUCCCAGUACUGGAAUUUUAAAUCCCCCACUUUAUAAUCAGAUUCUGUGAUAUAUGGAAAUAACCUCGAGAACACAAAGGUGCCAUGACUAGAGAGUACUGAAGAAAAUGAGAAAAGUUCUUGGUGCGAUUGUGCAUCUAUUCCCAUGUCAACUGAACAAGUAUUUUUUGAGCAUUUUAUUUGUGCUUGGUUCUUUGCAUUACAGAAGAUGCACACUUGACCUGUGCCCUCAGUCAGCUUAGAUUUUAGUUGUGGAAAGAAGGCUAACAUGUGUGACAAAUUUAAUGUAAUGCAAUAGAAUCUAGUUCUAAAUUGUAAGAUGCAGAAGAAUGAUACUAUUGAACACUGGGGAAUGGGGAUUGUAGGGGAAAUUUUUUUUUUAGGAGGUAGAAAUUAAGCCAGACCCAGAGAUGGCAAGUAUAUGGCAUGCAUGCCAUCACGAACUCCUGCUACCCAUGUGGCAGACAUUGCUAAUCAAGCUUGAUAUACCCAUUAUUAUUAUUCAGCCUGAAUCGGAUUUCAGAAUCCUCAGUAUAGAGUUCUGUUAAUAAUUGGUUGGAGUUGGCACUCAACUGAAAACCUAGGAGUGGACUAUUUGCUCCUUGACAGCAGGUGUCAUGCCUUCUUAAGCUUUUAUCCCUAGGGCUUAACACUAGUUCUUAAUAAUUAUUAAGUGAAUGAAGAACUAAGAAUAUUUGGAUAGAUUUAGAUGAGAGAGAAGCGUAUUCCAGAUGAAGGGAAUACAUUAGAAACAUAUGCUUGCAAGAGUAAGCACGAUGCAUUUGUACACAGUAGAGACUGUCCUGUUUAGGGCCUCUGUGCCAUCAAGCGCAGACUGCACAAACUAGAUCUAGAAGCCAAGGACUUGAUGUGCUAAGCUAUAGGAAGCCACCAAGCCAGCAUCUUAGAGUUGGCCCAAGGCCAUCACUCGGGUUCCAACCUGUCCACUUCUUUGCCUUUUGAUUGUGCCCAACAGAAAGGAACACACACUUCUAUAUACUCCUGGCUAGAUGGUAGCUUAUUUUGUUGUUGCAUCUCCCUGUCCUCAGGCUGGGGUGGAGUGGUGGAGAGAAGGCUGGCCCCUAGCUACAAGGAAUUGGGAAAGAAGAAGGGAGCACUGUUAACCCCUUUCUAUUGAGAAGGUAGCACCACUUCCACUGGCCAAUUACAGCAGGUUCAUUAGCGCCCAUGUGGCCAGAGAGGGCGUUACUGCUGCCUGAGAGGAGGCACCACACUUUCCUUCAUGAGGCUAACUGGGUGGAGCCACGUGCUAAUCAGUUGUAACCACAUGUACCCGGUUGGUUCCCUCUUUCCACUUCUUCCUGAUUAGUCAGACAUACUCAAAAUUCAAGCCAACACUGACAUCAUCAUCAUAAAAUUGUUUACAGUUUGAGGCCUACAUGCUGUUACUAAGUUGGUCAAUAGUCUAGUGACCAUUUGAAGGGAAUCUCAUCACAUGACACACAGAAGUUGGGGAAAGCCAAGACUGAGAAGGAUUUUCCUUGAAUUUCUUCUUGUUACAGCCUAGACUCGUAGCUUAGACUACAUCAGCUUCAAGAUUUUCAAUGUGAAAUGACUUCAUUAACUCUUUUAGUCCCUUCAGAUGAGGCUGGACUUACCUGAUUCUCUUGGUAAAAGUAACAUAGGUAAACGUCAUUCCUUGAAUUCUUUAUGCCUACUCUCACCUCAUACUUUUAAAUAAUUUAUUUUUUAAUUUCUGUGUUUAGACCUUCAUAAAUUUAGUUUCUGUCAGUGGGCAGUCAUGUCAGGAACCAUGUAAACGAAUCUUAUUUCUGGCCACAAUGGAAUAUAUUUUCCUAGAGGAACCAGACACCUGUUACUCUAAACAUACCCCAGGAGUCCCUCUGUGUCUUUGCUUACUCAAUCCUAGAAAGAAGGCUCCUUCUGACAGAAUAAAGCCAUUCUUCAAGACUGAGUUUAAAUAACAGCUCCUCUACGAAACUCACCCCUGCAUAUCCAGUAGGAAUAAUCUCAUGCUUUCUCUAUACAGUCAUCACACAACAUUCUACUUACUGGCUGGUUUAUUUCUGCCCAUCUGUUUUUCUACCCUCCAGGUCUGUAAACUUGAAACAAGAACACUGACCACUAGUACAUGGGCAUCAUCACCUCUCUCUUUGGUAGCAGUUGAGACUGUGAUGCCUUGUGUUUUGUUUUGUUUUGUUUCCUUUUCCUCUCUAGUCAGGAUGGUGAAUUCAGAUGUGGAAAAGUUUCAUCACUGAGAGGGAACUCUAGAACAGCUAGUGAAGUUGACUGGCAUUCUCUUUCUGCACAGUGGAAGGAAACCCUAACUUUCAUUGACAUGUCCUAAUGGGACGUUGGAACAGAUCCCAUGUCUCUGAACCAGUCUGAUUAUUGCUUCAGUACCUAUCCAGGAUCUGGCACAUCCUUAUUGAUCAAUAAAUGUCUGUGGAAUAAAUGAAUGAGUCAGUAGUUGGGGAAACAUGGAGAUCUGUUAUUUCUGGGCAGAACCAGGCGACUCACCUUGAGAUUUAUAGCUAGUAACAGCCUAAUACUCUGCAGAAUUGUGACAGCUCAGGUUAUAAAAUUUAUGGCCCAGGAAAUGAGAUGAGCACAGGUAGAUUUUGAAUUUACUACUGAAAAGCCCCUCGCAAUAAUCAUUAAAGGUAGCUCGGUGGUAGGGAGGUAGGGGGAUAGCUAAGUGAAACCUACACACAGUACAGGAACAACUCCUACAUUUGGUGCUCCUUUCUUUUAUACUUCUUUUGACGGAAGAGGUCCUAAAAGAGUCCAAAAAGUUCACUUGGAAUGGCCUGCUGAAAGAGGAAUCUCCUCUCAGGGUAGAGUCACCCGUCUCAUCUGCAACAUUGCUGUGGAGAGCCAUUAUGUGCUGGGUUAUUAAUGCUGUUUUUCCAGCAGGUCCACAGUUUGUGUCUCAGCAACCUGACUGAGGCGGUCAUGAUGGUAAAGCAUAAUCAGCUUUGGUUUCACAAGGUAAUGAAAUCUUCAUAAAUAUAAUCAUGGCCUAUUAUUACCUUCGAGUGGCUCCCAUUUUAACGUUGUGCCUUAAAAGUGUUAGGAUUAUCUAGCUGGAGAUGUUUUGAAGCCCUUGACUUCAGGCUGUGCUUGUUCAGCAUUCAUCCUUACUUUCAUAGACAGAAAUACAAAUGGGACUCGUGUUUGAAAAGGA